GAUCAUGGCUCAGGACGAACGCUGGCGGCGUGCUUAACACAUGCAAGUCGAACGAGAAUCUAUGGAAAGAGGAUUCGUCCAAUUGAAAUAGAGGACAGUGGCGGACGGGUGAGUAACGCGUGAGGAACCUGCCUUUCAGAGGGGGACAACAGUUGGAAACGACUGCUAAUACCGCAUAACGCGUAGAGGUCGCAUGGCCUUUACGCCAAAGAUUUAUCGCUGAAAGAUGGCCUCGCGU
rnacentral:rRNA from 1 species